rnacentral:rRNA from 1 species
UGCUGGCGGCAUGCUACCACAUGCAAGUCGAACGAACCUUCGGUGGUUAGUGGCGCACGGGUGCGUAACGCGUUGAUCUGCCCUUUGCUUCGGAAUAACAGUUAGAAAUGACUGCUAAUACCGGAUGAUGUCUUCGGACCAAAGAUUUAUCUGGCAAGGGAUGAGCCCGCGUAGGAUUAGGUAGUUGGUGGGGUAAAGGCCUACCAAUGCCGACGAUCCUUAGCUGGUCUGAGAGGAUGAUCAGCCACACUGGGACUGAGACACGGCCCAGACUCCUACGGGAGUGCAGCAGUGGGGAAUAUUGGACAAUGGGCGCAAGCCUGAUCCAGCAAUGCCGCGUGAGUGAUGAAGGCCUUCGGGUCGUAAAGCUCUUUUACCAGGGAAUGAUAAAUGACAAGUACCAUGAGAGACAUACAGCUCCCGGCAUAACUCCAGUGCCAAGCAGCCGGUGGUAAUACGGGGGGAGCAAGCGUUGUACGGAUUUACUGGGCGUAAAGGGCGCGUAAGCGGACAGCACAAAGUCAGUUGUGAAAUCUCCGAGGCUUAACUCGGAAAGGUC